rnacentral:rRNA from 1 species
GAUGAACGCUAGCGAUAGGCUUAACACAUGCAAGUCGAGGGGUAACGUGUUGGUAGCUUGCUUCUGAUGACGCCGACCGGCGGAUGGUUCCUUAACGCGUAUGCAACUUGCCUCACAGUGGAGAAUAACCCGGCGCAAUUCGGACUAAUACUCCAUACACUCUUAAGUACGCCUUUCCAUGAGAGGACAGAUUUAUCGCUGUGAGAUAGGCAUGCUUCCUAUUAGGUAGUUGGUGAGAGAACGGCUCACCACGCCGACGAUAGGUAGGGGUGCUGAGAGGCAAAUCCCCCAGAAUGGGACAGAGAGACGGGACAAACUCCGAAGGGAGGAAGCAGUGAGGAAUAAUGGUCAAUGGAGGAAACACUGAACCAGCCAAGGCGCGUGAAGAAAGAAUGUCGUAUGGAUUGUAAACUUCUUUAGCGAGCGAGGAAGUAAGUCCACGUGAUGGGAGUUUGAAAGUAGCUCGAGAAUAAGUACCGGCUAACUCCGUG